GUUGAAAAGAGAAUCAUGAAAUGCAAUUAAAUGUUAUUUGUUUCAUAUUAUAGAGGAUUUAUUUAAAUAUCACUGCUCUCUCAUGAAAUAUGGUCGACGGGAUAAUGCACAAAACACAGAAAAAUGCGAGAAAACACAUACAAAUUAAGAAAAUAACAUUGCAGAUUGCAAAAUACACACAAACAAAUAAACCCAUGCAGAUAUAAAAAACUUAAAUUAGUUGAAAUUGAAACACUGGACUCUCCUUCCAGUACAGAGAACUGAACAGGUUAUAACACUUCAACCUAAACUCAUGUUCACAUCACAUAAACUCUGUGACUGCAACUACAAAUAAAAUGUAAACAUCCAAAAAGUUCUGGUUUAUUUUGACAUUUAUUCUUCAACAAAUCCACUUGUGCUCUUUUCCUUUCAGGAAAAAUAUUCAACAUACUGUACUGUGUCUCCACCUGCAUAGCUACUCUCUCUUGUGGUUUUUACUUCAGCGCUGAAGUUGAAUGUUGACAUUGUGUUCUUGUAGGAAUUGGAGGAGUUUAAACGCAUGCAGGUUGUUUCGGACAUGUGCGCAUUGUGUUCCAGUGUUGCUUCAGUUUGCACAAAUAUUGCAUCGUCGGGGCACAUAUAAAAGAUGCACACACACACUUAGCAUCCCCUUCUCACAGAAAAGGAUCUAUUGGACAUCAUUCAAUAACACCAUUUUAAAAGGUCGAGUUUCCUCUCAAGCCAAAAUUCAUCACAGCAUUCCGUUAUUGCAUUCACUGAUGUCUUUCUGUCAUCAUGUGCACUUCCACUCUUCCCAAAAACGAUGUAAUCUUUCUUCCAGAUAAGUCUGAAGUGGUCGAGCAGAGAUGUGCGUCACUGUCAUUUUUUCCCUUUUUAUUUUCUUGAGGAUUAGCUCAUACUUUGAACAAUCCUCUGAUGGCUUUUCAGUUAGCGCCCUUUGCCAUGUUUCCCACUGGGAUAGUUGUUUCCAGAGGACAAAUGUGCCAUUAGAUGUUACUGUAUUCAGUUAAACACAUUUUUUUUUCUUGUUAUCCUUAUUCUAGCCACAAACUUGACCAAAAAAAUGACUGCCCAGUUUGGCACAUGUAUGGGGAAAUAAAAACCAUUGCGGGGCACACAAACCUAUUUUUAAAAAAAGAUAUGCGACAAAUAACAACGGCAAAAAUCUGCGCCUGUUCUUACUAACCCCGCCGACAAUCGUGCGUCUCGUUCCUGAACUCGUUCUCUGCUGUAGUACCGAGACUGACCUGCAGGAGAAAGCACAGUGUCCCAGCUCCUCCAGACUGCCGGCAAAUACAAAAAAAGAAGAAAUAGAAGCAGCUAGGCUAAAUAUUUACUUAUCUUGUACUAUAACUGCGUUAUGAUUGUAAACUCUUCUCGUUGCCAUUUUUAUUCUGGGCACAUGCAGGGAGCGCCCACAAACACGUGGGGGUGACCUCAUCGUCAUCUUUCGGAUAGUGGAUCUCCAGCACAGAGUUGAUCUCUGACAGUUCCAAGGGUCGAGCAACGGAGACUCCAUCUGGCCAGUACACUUCCACAUUUGUGGCCACAUCCUUACCUUAGAUAUAUGGGCAAGCACAGACCAUAUGUUAACCCUCAAUUGCCGUUGAUAGCCACAUAUCUUUUCUAUAGUAAUGGUUUGACAAUGUCAAAAUGGCAGAUUUUUGCAUAGUCCUGUAUUGUGUGUCCAUGUAAAGCCAAAUUUUUAGCGCAGGGUUAUUCCUCUUUACCAAGAAUCUUAAUUCAAGUGGCAUUUGUCAUGUAAACACAGGUUAUUUUGUCAGGCAGCGAUCUAGCCAGCAGGGGUGCCUUGAAAUAUUUCAGCUUUACUUGCUCCCAUAUGUCACUCUGUGGUUGAGAGGUGGUGAGUGACUGAUGCCUUGAGCAAGUGUGCAGCUCUCUUGUGAGGUCAGGAUGGUGCCAAAAGUUUGCUUGUAUGUAUUUUCGGCCUUACAGGAGAGGCCUUGGAGAGACGAUCUGGUCUUGGGUGGGCCGAACCGGGAGCCAGUUUGUCACAAGGCAGGCUAGUUUCCAGCGCCAGCACCUGUCCCCCCCACCAAUCCCUCGCAGAGAUACCUCACUCUCCCUCGGGUGUCCAAUCACACCAAAGAAUCGCUGCUGAAUAGGAUGUCUUUGCAGAAAAGACAUUUAUGAGGCGCGGCCAUUUGCAUCCAUCUCUGCAGCCUGUGAGGGAUUCAUCGCCGCUUCAUUGGUUAGAAGCAAGCUUGCCAAAGCAUCUCCAUCAGUGGCGCUCUGUCCAAUCUCAUCCAUUAUCAUCACAUGAAUUUGACUGUGGAAUCAGGACGCGGCGUCGCAUUAUGUUUGCAUCACUGGAUGUGGCAUCGCAAGUGAAGUCCAAGCUGCCUCCGGGUAUCACUGUCGUGUUCUCCAUGUUAACCUCGAUUGACAACCUGCCACAAGUACAAGUGCACGUCCACAUGUUGUCAGCUAAUGCUGAGUGACGGGCCUUCAUUUGCUUUCAGACUAUUCGGAUAAUUCGCCGAGGAUUUUGUUCAAUGGAUUUGAAAAGUUGACCUUUGGAGAAUGGAUGGAUGGAUGAAAUGUGUCAGGUUAGGGGGGAAAGAAAGUACUUUUUGGUGAAACGCUUUGCAAUCAAACGACGACAGUGGGACCUCCGGAUCGAAUGCCUCUUAGGUACAAUCGAAGGGAAAUGUUCGAGGAAAAAUAGAAGUUCUUCAAAUCGGGCGUGCAGCUCUUCAAACUUCAGCUCGCUAAGACAGCGGUUUCCUUUUUCUUUGUGUGUUUUGCGUUGCCAAAUCAAGAAGACGACUGGCAAAAAAAUGUGAUGAGAAAGAACAUUAAAGAGAACUCGUUCUGACUUCUGUCCUCGCUGCUCCAAUAUGGCGAACCCGUCAAUAAAUCAGCAAUUAAAAUAAACGAAGAAGAUAUGUCAAUUCAAAUGUUUACAUUUAGCCUAGCAUGAUCAAAAUCAACAGCAUUAUUUCUUUUUUAUUUUGGGGGGGGGGGUAUUCACAGUGGUGGACUCAUAAUUGGUACCGUUUCCAGUUUCAAAUCUGAGCUCCUGUGUGGAGUUGACGUGUUUCUUCGUAUUUCUCUUAUUUCAUAUAGAAAAAAGUGUUUCUUGAUUGUUUAUCUGAACUUGCUGUAAGAACUUCAUAUCAGGUCACUCUGUUUUUUGUUUUGUUUUGUGAAUUCUCUCUUAGAGGAGGAGAGUGGGGUAUCAAUCCAAUGCAUUAGGACUCGGGUCUCUUUAAUGACAGUCGCCGCCUCCUGGCUGAUGUAAAGCAAACUUGUGCUUUUGGGAGAUGAAGAAGCCUGUCCAGCCACCUCAGGCCAGUCACCCUCCCCCUGUGAUUCUCCACCU